rnacentral:rRNA from 1 species
CUAGUAAUGGCAGGUCAGCAUACUGCCGUGAAUACGUUCCCGGGCCUUGUACACACCGCCCGUCACACCAUGAGAGUUGGAAAUACCCGAAGCCUGUGAGCUAACUUAAAGAGGCAGCAGUCGAAGGUAGAGCCAAUGAUUGGGGUGAAGUCGUAACAAGGUACC